UUUAACCUGAAAUUCUAAGUAAAAUUCAUGAAAUAUUGGUGUGAGAGUUAUCGUCCCUGUGCCAUAUGAUGUUGUUGAUGAUGAGAAAUAACUAUUUUAAAUUUGAAACAAAUCUAUCAAGUAAUUACAGAGAUAAAGAGAAAGUGCAUCAAAACUUUAACCAAGGUGCAGAUGCGGAAAGAUGCUGAUGCCAGGUCGAGUAAGACAGCUCUCCAUACUUUGUAGAGUCAAGCUAAAAACCAUGGAUUCUAGAGUAGUCCCUGUAUCACAUUACAGGGAAACACAGGUGAUUACCUAUAGAGGGGUCAAUCACUAAAUGUACUGUGCUUUGCGUUGUAUCAAAACACAUCAAAAAGAUUGUGAAAUAUUGUGAAACUAGACUGUUAAACUUUUCAAAGUAAACAGAACAAAAUCAUUAUUUCAAAAAUAAGACAUUUAUUCAUUACCUAACAAAUACAUACAGCUUAUAGAAACUGUAACAAUAUAGCAAACUACACAUCAUAUAACAGCCAACAUAUAAUACAGGACUUUUAUGAAAGCAUCAAUGAAUGUUGAAUAAUUUUGUGUACUCAACUGUGCCAUAUAUUUCCAUGUAAAAGAUGAAUUUUAAAAUCAUUCUAAGAACUACAUUAUGAAAAUGUUGAAUCCUUUCUAACUGACCAUGACAAUGUCUUUAAUAAGUUUGUUCCUGAAAAAAAAACCUUAACUUGCUACUCAAGAUUUUGAAAUUAUAUUAAAAUAGAGAAGUUUGCUGGUAAGAUAUACCUCAUGGUCUAUGAAAAAAAAAAUAUGAUCAUUAGAGUGUAUCACUGCUGUAUGAUUCUUUCUUAGACUGCAAGACAGGACAAUUUAGUUGUUUUUUUCAUCUGAUAUGCUGAUAAAAGAAUUACACAGAUCUCUGCCAAGUUUUAGAGUGAUUCAAGUUGAAAAAAUCACCGGUCUUAAACAGAUCAUCAAGAAACCAUUAACUUUUUGGUAGAAGUUGGGACCCUGCCUUAUAAAUGCUGCACCUAAAAGGUACGAAAUUAUAGUAUAAAUAUAUUUACAAAAAUUCAAUCAUGAGUUGAUUAUAAGUCAAGAACAACAUUUUUGAGUUCAUUAAUAGAUGAAACAAGCAUGUCUAAUGAUGAGCAAUGUUGCAAAUAAAAACUGAAUGAAUCAACAGAUGACAGAGAUCAUUUUCCUUAAAUAAAUAUAGACACAGACAACUCAAUUAUGAGAUUUAUUAUAUGACCAUGUCCCCUUAUCAUCUACAAAAUAAAAAAAAUGUGCUUUUGACUAGUGCCACACAUAUACAUGUACAAAAUAACACAUAACUAAACAUAAGAUUCAUUAUUACCAAAAAAAAAAAGCCAGCAAUUUUACAUAUAUAUAUGGUGCAUUUUCAACACAGUAAGCAAUUCCAAUAGUUGUGUAACCAUGAAAUUUUAUCUAUUUAAAGCAAAAAAUAUUAUGCAGUUACAAACAUUUUUUGAACAACAUGAUUGUAAUUCUUUUCUGAAUUAUAAUUUAUUGUCAGGUU